GUUUAGCAGGCGAUCAGAAGAUCCUAGGACAACGAUUGUUUCAUGUGAUUGUGUUUAGCAGGCGAUCAGAAUAUCCUAGGACAAUGAUUGUUUCAUGUGAUUGUGUUUAGCAGACGAUUAAAUUAUCCUAGGACAACGAUUCUGUCAUCAGAUUAUGUUUAGCAGGCGAUAAAAACAUCCUGGGACAACUAUUCUUUCAUCAGAUUGUAAGUAUUGAAUUUGUUUAUCAUUUUCAUAGGUAAUUUGUGUGACUAGCACACGGAAAACCUGCAAAAAUGUAAUUUUUGUGCUUCUAUGUGCUAAGUUUUAUUUUUUUAGGUGUUUAGCAGGCGAUCAGAAUGUCAUAGGACAAUGAUUGUUUCAUCUGAUUGUAGGUAUUGAAUUUGUUUAUCAUUGUCAUAGGUAAUUUGGGUAAUUAGCACACGGGAUACCUGCAAAAAUGUCAUUUUUGUGCUUUGAUGUGCUGAUUUUUUUGUUUUUUUAGGUGUUUAGCAGGCAAUCAAAAUGUCCUAGGACAACUAUGUUUUAAUCAGGCUGUUAGUAUUGAAUUUGUUUAUCAUUUUUUUGAGUUAUUUUUUGUCAUUAGCACACGGGAAACCUGCAAAAAUGCCAUUUUUGCGCUUCGAUUUGCUAUUUUUUUGUUAUUUUAGGUGUCUAGCAGGCGAACAAAAUGUCAUAUGGCAACAAUUCUUUUAUCAGAUUGUGUUUAGCAGGCGAUCAGAAUAUCCUAGGACAUCGAUUGUUUCAUCUGAUUGU